rnacentral:rRNA from 1 species
GACGAACGCUGGCGGCGUGCUUAACACAUGCAAGUCGAACGGAAAGGCCCUGCUUUUGUGGGGUGCUCGAGUGGCGAACGGGGGAGUAACACGUGAGUAACCUGCCCUUGACUUUGGGAUAACUUCAGGAAACUGGGGCUAAUACCGGAUAGGAGCUCCUGCUGCAUGGUGGGGGUUGGAAAGUUUCGGCGGUUGGGGAUGGACUCGCGGCUUAUCAGCUUGUUGGUGGGGUAGUGGCUUACCAAGGCUUUGACGGGUAGCCGGCCUGAGAGGGUGACCGGCCACAUUGGGACUGAGGUACGGCCCAGACUCCUACGGGAGGCAGCAGUGGGGAAUAUUGCACAGUGGGCGGAAGCCUGAUGCAGCAGCGCCGCGUGCGGGAUGACGGCCUUCGGGUUGUAAACCGCUUUCGCCUGUGACGAAGCGUGAGUGACGGUAAUGGGUAAAGAAGCACCGGCUAACUACGUG